rnacentral:rRNA from 1 species
UGCGGAGGGUGCGAGCGUUGUCCGGAAUCACUGGGCGUAAAGGGCGCGUAGGCGGCUUGGGAAGUCCGUGGUGAAAGCUCGUGGCUCAACUACGAGUCGGCCAUGGAUACUCCUAAGCUCGAGUCGACUAGAGGCAGAUGGAAUUCCGGGUGUAGCGGUGAAAUGCGUAGAUAUCGAGAGGAACACCUGCGGCGAAGGCGGGUUGCUGGGCUGACACUGACGCUGAGGCGCGAAAGCUAGGGGAGCGAACGGG